rnacentral:rRNA from 1 species
GACGAACGCUGGCGGCGUGCUUAACACAUGCAAGUCGAACGGUAAGGCCCUUCGGGGUACACGAGUGGCGAACGGGUGAGUAACACGUGGGUGAUCUGCCCUGCACUUCGGGAUAAGCCUGGGAAACUGGGUCUAAUACCGGAUAGGACCACUGCCUGCAUGGGUGGUGGUGGAAAGCUUUUGCGGUGUGGGAUGGGCCCGCGGCCUAUCAGCUUGUUGGUGGGGUGAUGGCCUACCAAGGCGAAGACGGGUAGCCGGCCGGAGAGGGUGACCGGGCACACUGGGACUGAGAUACGGCCCAGACUCCUACGGGAGGCAGCAGUGGGGAAUAUUGCACAAUGGGCGCAAGCCUGAUGCAGCGACGCCGCGUGAGGGAUGACGGCCUUCGGGUUGUAAACCUCUUUCAGCACCGACGAAGCGCAAGUGACGGUAGGUGCAGAAGAAGGACCGGCCAACUACGUGCCAGCCGCCGCCGUAA